GAUGAAGAACGUAGCGAAAUGCGAUAAGUAGAGUGAAUUGCAGAAUUCAGUGAAUCAUCGAAUCUUUGAACGCACAUUGCGCCCUUUGGUAUUCCUUAGGGCAUGCCUGUUCGAGCGUCAUUUAAACCUUCAAGCUAAGCUUGGUGUUGGGUGACUGUCCGCCUCACGGCGGACUCGCCUCAAAAUUAUUGGCGGCCGGUACAUUGGCUUCGAGCGCAGCAGAAACGCGAACUCGGGCCCGUCGUAUUGGCUCCCAGAAGCUAUCUUCACAAUUUUGACCUCGGAUCAGGUAGGGAUACCCGCUGAACUUAAGCAUAUCAAUAAGCGGAGGA
rnacentral:misc_RNA from 1 species